AACGAACGCUGGCGGCAUGCCUAACACAUGCAAGUCGAACGAAGUCUUCGGACUUAGUGGCGCACGGGUGCGUAACGCGUGGGAAUCUGCCCUUGGGUGCGGAAUAACUUCUCGAAAGGGAUGCUAAUACCGCAUAAUGUCGUAAAGACCAAAGAUUUAUCGCCCAAGGAUGAGCCCGCGUAAGAUUAGCUAGUUGGUGGGGUAAAAGCCUACCAAGGCGACGAUCUUUAGCUGGUCUGAGAGGAUGAUCAGCCACACUGGGACUGAGACACGGCCCAGACUCCUACGGGAGGCAGGCAGUGGGGAAUAUUGGACAAUGGGCGAAAGCCUGAUCCAGCAAUGCCGCGUGAGUGAUGAAGGCCCUAGGGUUGUAAA
rnacentral:rRNA from 1 species